GAUUGCCCCAGUAACGGCGAGUGAAGCGGCAACAGCUCAAAUUUGAAAUCUGGCUUCGGCCCGAGUUGUAAUUUGCAGAGGAAGCUUUAGGCGCGGCACCAUCUGAGUCCCCUGGAACGGGGCGCCACAGAGGGUGAGAGCCCCGUAUAGAUGGACGCCUAGCCUGUGUAAAGCUCCUUCGACGAGUCGAGUAGUUUGGGAAUGCUGCUCUAAAUGGGAGGUAAAUUUCUUCUAAAGCUAAAUACCGGCCAGAGACCGAUAGCGCACAAGUAGAGUGAUCGAAAGAUGAAAAGCACUUUGAAAAGAGGGUUAAAUAGCACGUGAAAUUGUUGAAAGGGAAGCGCUUGUGACCAGACUUGCGCCGGGCGGAUCAUCCGGUGUUCUCACCGGUGCACUCCGCCCGGCUCAGGCCAGCAUCGGUUCUCGUGGGGGGACAAAGGUUCCGGGAACGUAGCUCCUCCGGGAGUGUUAUAGCCCGGGGCGUAAUGCCCUCGCGGGGACCGAGGACCGCGCUUCGGCAAGGAUGCUGGCGUAAUGGUCAUCAGCGACCCGUCUUGAAACACGGACCAAGGAGUCAAGGUUUUGCGCGAGUGUUUGGGUGUAAAACCCGCACGCGUAAUGAAAGUGAACGUAGGUGAGAGCUUCGGCGCAUCAUCGACCGAUCCUGAUGUUUUCGGAUGGAUUUGAGUAGGAGCGUUAAGCCUUGGACCCGAAAGAUGGUGAACUAUGCUUGGAUAGGGUGAAGCCAGAGGAAACUCUGGUGGAGGCUCGCAGCGGUUCUGACGUGCAAAUCGAUCGUCAAAUCUGAGCAUGGGGCGAAAGACUAAUCGA
rnacentral:rRNA from 1 species